GUUGGCAUGAUAACAUUCUUGUGUUUCUCAACCUCAUAAACAAAAUAAGCUUGAAAGGCAAACCCAAAGGCCUGCAACAGAUGAGGAGCUGGGAACUCGUCAAUAAUACCACCUCUGCUUUCUACCCUCAUCUUUUACACAAGAUGCACCAGAGGAGCGCGUACAUGGCCCUACGCCUCACGGACGCCGCGUUAUUGCGGGCCCCGCGCGGCGUGUCUGGCAUCACGCGCCGCGACUGCGAGUGAGAACUCGACGAUCCUCUGUCCUCGCCAUCGGCACCGGAUGGCAGCAACGUCGUCGUCGUCGUCGUUGUCCAGUUGAACUCUGCUCAGGGUUGGAGCUCCGAGGUGCUGAAUCGUUCGUUGCAACUGAUGCAUCCCGUGAUCAUCACGGUGGUAGUGGCGAUGUUGUCGUGGAUGCCAUCUUUGAUAUCAGUGAUGGAUCUGUUGAUGUCGUUGCUUGGGGGGCAUGUGAAGGCUGUGAGGGGGCUGUUGAGGCGAUCACGGGGCGAGUCCAGAGCCCCUCGGGUUAUGACUCGGUGCUUCUUGGUGGCGUAGAUGCCGAACGCUAGAGAUGAGGAGAUUACCACCGCCGCCACCACACCCACUCGCUGGGCUGCGGUCAGGUUUGCAAUCUGUUGCGGCAGUUGAGCAUUAUGCCCUGACAUUCUUGCAGGAUUAUAGUACCAUCCUCUUUUCCUGGACUACGACGAAUCGGAAGAUUUCAACCGUAACAUUGUUAUCAUUUGUGGACCAAAGAGAGGGCAGUGUAGGUGCUGCAACUCUUCCGACACGCAGACUCAGAUCCUCCUCGCCACGCGUACAGGUCCGUGAAGGUAUGUGUACGUGUAAGAUAUACAACUGUAAUGUAUGAAAGAUGCGAAGACAUAUCUAAUAUUGUCGAAGCCAUUGGGUUGCCACUUCAAAAACCUCGCGUUCAUCACCACGAUGCAAAAAUUCUCCGUAGAGUUUAAGUCUACAGAAUUUGUCCAGUGCGUUCGUCUCUUCGACCACACUUCUCAUUGUUCCGCACAGGGCCCGAGAACCUGAGAGACGCGAGAAAUGUCUGGCUCAAUUCUGCAUUUGUGUUGAGAUCCGCUCAGGGACCCAAAUUGCAAUACCGACUUGGCGGCGCCGAGCAAAGUACCAGUUGAGGUUGGGCACACUGUUUUUGAAUUCUGCGGAAACUUACAUAUAAGUUGAGCAACUCUAUCCUUACUGAACGCUAACCAGGAGUGUGACUGAGAUAUGUGAGUGUUUAAGUCAUGGUUCUGUUGAGGGUAUAAAAGAGUUAAUCACAUUCUGUGUC